rnacentral:rRNA from 1 species
GAUGAACGCUGGCGGCGUGCCUAAUACAUGCAAGUCGAGCGAACGGACGAGAAGCUUGCUUUUCUGAUGUUAGCGGCGGACGGGUGAGUAACACGUGGAUAACCUACCUAUAAGACUGGGAUAACUUCGGGAAACCGGAGCUAAUACCGGAUAAUAUUUUGAACCGCAUGGUUCAAAAGUGAAAGACGGUCUUGCUGUCACUUAUAGAUGGAUCCGCGCUGCAUUAGCUAGUUGGUAAGGUAACGGCUUACCAAGGCAACGAUGCAUAGCCGACCUGAGAGGGUGAUCGGCCACACUGGAACUGAGACACGGUCCAGACUCCGACGGGAGGCAGCAGUAGGGAAUCUUCCGCAAUGGGCGAAAGCCUGACGGAGCAACGCCGCGUGAGUGAUGAAGGUCUUCGGAUCGUAAAACUCUGUUAUUAGGGAAGAACAUAUGUGUAAGUAACUGUGCACAUCUUGACGGUACCUAAUCAGAAAGCCACGGCUAACUACGU